rnacentral:tRNA from 2 species
GCCCCCGUAGCCCAACUGGCAGAGGCGGCGGACUUAAAAUCCGUUCAGUGUCGGUUCGAACCCGACCGGGGGCACCG